AUUGAACGCUGGCGGCAGGCCUAACACAUGCAAGUCGAGCGGAUGAAGGGAGCUUGCUCCUGGAUUCAGCGGCGGACGGGUGAGUAAUGCCUAGGAAUCUGCCUGGUAGUGGGGGAUAACGUCCGGAAACGGGCGCUAAUACCGCAUACGUCCUGAGGGAGAAAGUGGGGGAUCUUCGGACCUCACGCUAUCAGAUGAGCCUAGGUCGGAUUAGCUAGUUGGUGGGGUAAAGGCCUACCAAGGCGACGAUCCGUAACUGGUCUGAGAGGAUGAUCAGUCACACUGGAAGUGAGACACGGUCAAGACUCCUAAGGGAGGCAGCAGUGGGGAAUAUUGGACAAUGGGCGAAAGCCUGAUCCAGCCAUGCCGCGUGUGUGAAGAAGGUCUUCGGAUUGUAAAGCACUUUAAGUUGGGAGGAAGGGCAGUAAGUUAAUACCUUGCUGUUUUGACGGUACCAACAGAAUAAGCACCGGCUAACUUCGUG
rnacentral:rRNA from 1 species